CCUACGGGUGGCAGCAGUGGGGAAUAUUGGGCAAUGGGCGCAAGCCUGACGCAACAACGCCGCGUGAAGGAAGAAGGCUUUCGGGUUGUAAACUUCUUUUCUCAGCGACGAAGGAAGUGACGGUACCUGAGGAAUAAGCCACGGCUAACUACGGGCCAGCAGCCGCGGUAAUACGUAGGUGGCAAGCGUUAUCCGGAUUUACUGGGUGUAAAGGGCGGGUAGGCGGGACUGCAAGUCAGAUGUGAAAACCACGGGCUCAACCUGUGGCCUGCAUUUGAAACUGUAGUUCUUGAGUACUGGAGAGGCGGACGGAAUUCCACGUGUAGCGGUGAAAUGCGUAGAUAUUAGGAGGAACACCAGUGGCGAAGGCGGUCUGCUGGAAAGCAACUGACGCUGAGGCGCGAAAGCGUGGGGAGCAAACAGGAUUAGAUACCCGAGUAGUC
rnacentral:rRNA from 1 species